rnacentral:rRNA from 1 species
UACCGUUGACAGUCAGGUAACGAGCGAGACCCCUGCCUCUAGUUGCUACCAUUACUCUCAGGAGUAGUGGAGCUCAUUAGAGGGACUGCCGUCGCUGCGACGGAGGAAGGACGGGGCUACGUCAGGUCAGUAUGCCCCGAUACUCUCGGCCCCCACGCGGCCUCCAAUGGUAAGGCCAAUGAGUGCCGAUUCCGAAAGGAGGAGGCAAUCUCUAAACCCUCUCAAAGGGAUGAUUGAGGGCUGAAACUCGCCCUCAUGAAUAUGAAUCCCUAGUAAUCGCGGUCAUCUCGCCCGGAA